CGCGGGAUGGAGCAGUUGGUAGCUCGUCGGGCUCAUAACCCGAAGGUUGCAGGUUCGAGUCCUGCUCCCGCAACCA
rnacentral:tRNA from 1 species